rnacentral:rRNA from 1 species
GUGAGGAAUUUUCCGCAAUGGGCGAAAGCCUGACGGAGCAAUGCCGCGUGAAGGAUGAAGGCCUAUGGGUUGUAAACUUCUUUUCUCAGAAAAGAAUUAUGACGGUAUCUGAGGAAUAAGCAUCGGCUAACUCUGUGCCAGCAGCCGCGGUAAGACAGAGGAUGCAAGCGUUAUCCGGAAUGAUUGGGCGUAAAGCGUCUGUAGGUUGUUUAAAAAGUAUUCUGUCAAAGAUUAGGGCUUAACCCUAGAUAGGCAGAAUAAACUUUUAAGAUAGAGUUUGGUAGAGGCAGAGGGAAUUCCCGGUGGAGCGGUGAAAUGCGUAGAUAUCGGGAGGAACACCAAAGGCGAAGGCACUCUGCUGGGCCAAUACUAACACUGAGAGACGAAAGCGAGGGGAGCAAAUGGGAUUAGAAACCCCAGUAGUCC